rnacentral:rRNA from 1 species
UACGUAGGGUGCAAGCGUUGUCCGGAAUUAUUGGGCGUAAAGGGCGCGUAGGCGGCCACCGCAAGUCGACUGUGAAAUCUCCGGGCUUAACCCGGAAAGGUCAGCCGAUACUGCGGGGCUAGAGUGCAGAAGGGGCAACUGGAAUUCUCGGUGUAGCGGUGAAAUGCGUAGAUAUCGAGAGGAACACCUGCGGCGAAGGCGGGUUGCUGGGCUGACACUGACGCUGAGGCGCGAAAGCUAGGGGAGCGAACGGG